rnacentral:rRNA from 1 species
UACGGAGGGUGCAAGCGUUUAUCCGGAAUCACUGGGUUAAAGGGUGCGUAGGCGGUCUGAUAAGUCAGUUGUGAAAUUCCUCGGCUUAACCGAGUGGACUGCGAUUGAUACUGUCAGACUUGAAUCAGGUUGAGGUAGGCGGAAUGUGACAUGUAGCGGUGAAAUGCUUAGAUAUGUCAUAGAACACCGAUUGCGAAGGCAGCUUGCUGGGCUUAGAUUGACGCUGAGGCACGAAAGCGUGGGGAGCAAACAGGG